UGGGGAAUAUUGCACAAUGGGCGAAAGCCUGAUGCAGCAACGCCGCGUGAGUGAUGAAGGCCUUCGGGUUGUAAAGCUCUGUCUUUUGGGACGAUAAUGACGGUACCAAAGGAGGAAGCCACGGCUAACUACGUGCCAGCAGCCGCGGUAAUACGUAGGUGGCAAGCGUUGUCCGGAUUUACUGGGCGUAAAGGAUGCGUAGGCGGAUUUUUAAGUGAGAUGUGAAAUACCCGGGCUUAACUUGGGUGCUGCAUUUCAAACUGGGAAUCUAGAGUGCGGGAGAGGAGAAUGGAAUUCCUAGUGUAGCGGUGAAAUGCGUAGAGAUUAGGAAGAACACCAGUGGCGAAGGCGAUUCUCUGGACCGUAACUGACGCUGAGGCAUGAAAGCGUGGGUAGCAAACAGGAUUAGAUACCCUGGUAGUCCACGCCGUAAACGAUGAGUACUAGGUGUAGGAGGUAUCGACCCCUUCUGUGCCGCAGUUAACACAAUAAGUACUCCGCCUGGGAAGUACGAUCGCAAGGUUAAAACUUAAAGGAAUUGACGGGGUCAUAGCUGUUUCC
rnacentral:rRNA from 1 species